rnacentral:rRNA from 1 species
AUUGAACGCUGGCGGCAUGCUUUACACAUGCAAGUCGAACGGCAGCGGGGUAGUGCUUGCACUACUGCCGGCGAGUGGCGAACGGGUGAGUAAUAUAUCGGAACGUACCGAGUAAUGGGGGAUAACCAAUCGAAAGAUUAGCUAAUACCGCAUACGUCCUGAGGGAGAAAGCGGGGGAUCGCAAGACCUCGCGUUAUUCGAGCGGCCGAUAACUGAUUAGCUAGUUGGUGGGGUAAAGGCCUACCAAGGCGACGAUCAGUAGCGGGUCUGAGAGGACGAUCCGCCACACUGGGACUGAGACACGGCCCAGACUCCUACGGGAGGCAGCAGUGGGGAAUUUUGGACAAUGGGGGCAACCCUGAUCCAGCCAUGCCGCGUGUAUGAAGAAGGCCUUCGGGUUGUAAAGUACUUUUGUUAGGGAAGAAAAGGGAAGUGCUAAUACCACUUUUUGCUGACGGUACCUAAAGAAUAAGCACCGGCUAACUACGUG